UGGAAAGGAGCGCUCUGUCGCUGGGGCAAUAUCCAGUCGCGGCCGAGCAUGCGCUCUCCACCCUUUGCCCAUCGGCUUCACCUCGGUUGCGCGGAAAUUCCCUAGCGCUUGAACCUCUGGAAGUUGGUGCCGCAGCAAAAUCCAGCAAGGUCCAGCAGGUUUCAACUGUGAAAGAAUUCCAUCUGAGGGAAUCUAGAAACUGAGUCUUUUCUGCUGCAGUAAUACACAUCAUCUGAAGCAUCAUCUUUUAUUAGAUGAGCGAUAUCAAUAAACUAUAUGCUUCGGCCCUCGACAACUGUGAUAUCUGGUGUGUUAUGUUCCAAAUGACGAUCCGUCUGUAUUAGAAAGUCCCACAAGAUACUGACUCAUAUUCGAUAACUUUUUC